rnacentral:rRNA from 1 species
UCGGGAAUUUUGUGCAAUGGGCGAAAGCCUGACACAGCAACGCCGCGUGAAGGAUGAAGCCCCUCGGGAUGUAAACUUCGUAAGAAUAGGAAGAAUAAAUGACGGUACUAUUUGUAAGGUCCGGCUAACUACGUGCCAGCAGCCGCGGUAAUACGUAGGGACCAAGCGUUGUUCGGAUUUACUGGGCGUAAAGGGUGCGUAGGCGGCAUAUCAAGUCACUUGUGAAAUCUCCGGGCUUAACUCGGAACUGCCAAGUGAUACUGAUGUGCUAGAGUGCAGAAAGGGCAACUGGAAUUCUUGGUGUAGCGGUGAAAUGCGUAGAUAUCAAGAGGAACACCUGAGGCGAAGGCGAGUUGCUAGGCUGACACUGACGCUGAGGUACGAAAGCUAGGGGAGCGAACGGGAUUAGAUACCCGAGUAGUCCCUGAGCGGGCUGGCAAGGCGCAU